GGAACUUGAAAAAAUGACAGCUUCCAGAAUCUACACGAGUUCAAUGCCGGAUUCACACAGAAACUAUUACUAAAACAUGGAGCAGGUCCAACUUUAAAACCAGAGGCAGCAGUUGUUGGGCCACAACCUAUUGAUUCCCUCACAGCUCGCCUCGUUUGACCUCUGACCCCAGCCGCCCGCUCUUAACAGCCAUACAGUCUGUCUCUGUCAGCUCUGUCCAAACAGAGCAUUAGCAUUGCUAAGCAGCAGCAGCAGCAGCGUGUGUUUGGAUGGAACGCCUGUCAGUGCUUAUUCUGAUGCAUGUUGUACAGUAUUACAAAAGGACAUGCUCCAUCCUGGCUGGUUCAUGCAAUUUCUGACAGUCAGUGUGUACAGGUUUAUAUAUUAGUUUGUGUGGAAACAAAGUUGUACUAGAUGUACAACAUUUAUGAGGUUUGUGGUUUCAUAUUUUUGUUAGAAUCAAAUCUUAGUCACUUGUCACUUGCUUAACUACUGUUAACUUCAUUUGCAAAAUAUUUUAUUUUAUUUCUUGUUUGCUCCAUUCGCAUAUUUUUAUUUUAUUUUUGGCACUCAAUUUGCAUUCAUUCUAUUUGCAUUUUCAUUUUUUAUUUUAUUUUAUUACUUGUACUCCAUUUGCAUAUUUUUAUUGUAUUUUUUUCACUCCAUUGGCUUAUUUAAUUUACUUUGUCACCCCAUUUGCAGAUUUUUAUUUUUUACAAUCAUACAUUUACUAAAUUGUAUUUUUUUUUUUUUUUUUUUGUAUUUUGUUAUUCACUCAGUUUGAGUAUUUUUAUUACAUUUAGGCCUACGCCAUUUGCAUAUUUUUUUAUUUUUAGUACUUGUUCAUGUCAUUUGCAUUUUUAAAAUGGCUAGUAGCAAAUAAACUUGACAUAAUAUGUGCAUUUGCAGACAUAUGCAUAUUCAUAUCACAGAAUUUUAAAAUAGAAGUUGUAUUUGCUGUAUUCAUUCUCAUUCCGUCUGUGUCUCAC